AUUUAUGUAGUUUAAAAAACGUUAUAUUUUCAAUAUAAAGUUAAUGUUUAUCAUUCAUAAAUA
rnacentral:tRNA from 1 species